rnacentral:rRNA from 1 species
GACGAACGCUGGCGGCGUGCCUAAUACAUGCAAGUAGAACGCUGAAACUUGGUGCUUGCACCGAGCGGAUGAGUUGCGAACGGGUGAGUAACGCGUAGGUAACCUGCCUGGUAGCGGGGGAUAACUAUUGGAAACGAUAGCUAAUACCGCAUAAGAGUAGAUGUUGCAUGACAUUUGCUUAAAAGGUGCAAUUGCACCACUACCAGAUGGACCUGCGUUGUAUUAGCUAGUUGGUGGGGUAACGGCUCACCAAGGCGACGAUACAUAGCCGACCUGAGAGGGUGAUCGGCCACACUGGGACUGAGACACGGCCCAGACUCCUACGGGAGGCAGCAGUAGGGAAUCUUCGGCAAUGGACGGAAGUCUGACCGAGCAACGCCGCGUGAGUGAAGAAGGUUUUCGGAUCGUAAAGCUCUGUUGUAAGAGAAGAACGAGUGUGAGAGUGGAAAGUUCACACUGUGACGGUAGCUUACCAGAAAGGGACGGCUAACUACGUG